UGCUCAAGAGAGCCAGCAAACAGGCAGCUA
rnacentral:piRNA from 1 species